GAUCAUGGCUCAGGAUGAACGCUAGCUACAGGCUUAACACAUGCAAGUCGAGGGGCAUCACAGUGUAGCAAUACACGGGUGGCGACCGGCGCACGGGUGCGUAACACGUAUCCAAUCUGCCCGUUACUCGGGGAUAGCCUUCUGAAAGGAAGAUUAAUACCCGAUGGCAUGUAUUUCCGGCAUCGGAGAUACAUUAAAGAUUUAUCGGUAACGGAUGAGGAUGCGUACGAUUAGCUUGUUGGCGGGGUAACGGCCCACCAAGGCUACGAUCGUUAGGGGUUCUGAGAGGAAGGUCCCCCACACUGGAACUGAGACACGGUCCAGACUCCUACGGGAGGCAGCAGUGAGGAAUAUUGGUCAAUGGGCGCAAGCCUGAACCAGCCAAGUAGCGUGAAGGAUGACUGCCCUAUGGGUUGUAAACUUCUUUUAUACGGGAACAAACCUCGGUACGUGUACCGAAUUGCGUGUACCGUAUGAAUAAGCAUCGGCUAACUCCGUG
rnacentral:rRNA from 1 species